GGUUUGUGGCUCAGUGGUAGAGCAUUUUCCUCAUAUGUGUGAGGCACUGGGUUCAAUUCUCAGCACCA
rnacentral:tRNA from 1 species